GUUAAAUAUACUCAAACAACAAAAACUGCUUACAUAGAUCACAUUACUCAUGUUGAGUUGGUUUACUUUUAUUCAAAAAGUGACUGUCUCCAGGCAAGUACAAAUCUGAGAGGGAGUGGCAAUAGGAUGGGGAACAAACAGCACAGAAGUGUGUGUAUAUUAUAUGAGGAAAUUCAACAUACAUAAAAUGGCCAAAAAGGAAAAACACAACAAAUGAAAAUAAAGCUUGAUGUUUGUUUUAUAUACAAGAAGGCUCAAAUAAAGGAACUAUACCAAUGUAGUGGUAGUAAGUGACAAAACAAAAGCCACAGUCAUUUUUACUCCAAAAUAUUUACUUACAUAUAAUAAUAAUAAUAAUAAUAAGGUAAAAAACACAGGUUGCCUGUAUCUACUUCAUCGACAUCACAUCUGGACCAUCUGUUUUCUGUUGUUAUAACACCAAUAAUCACCUUUCAUGGCUACCUGACAUGGAAGAAGAUUAGUAAGAGAAAACAAUUUAGGACCUGUCCAGAAACGACCCCUAGCACCCUAAACUCUAGUCUCACGAGGCCAUCCUUCCAAAUGUAGUCUACAGAAGCUUUCCGGGGCUACCUCAGCCCUAACCCCUCCUUUCCGGGGCUACCUCAGCCCUAACCCCUAGGCUUUCCUUUCCGAGGCUACCCCAGCCCUAACCCCUAGGCUUUCCGAGGCUACCCCAGCCCUAACCCCUAGGCUUUCCGAGGCUACCCCAGCCCUAACCCCUAGGCUUUCCGAGGCUACCCCAGCCCUAACCCCUAGGCUUUCCGAGGCUACCCCAGCCCUAACCCCUAGGCUUUCCGAGGCUACCCCAGCCCUAACCCCUAGGCUUUCCGAGGCUACCCCAGCCCUAACCCCUAGGCUUCCCGAGGCUACCCCAGCCCUAACCCCUAGGCUUCCCGAGGCUACCCCAGCCCUAACCCCUAGGCUUCCCGAGGCUACCCCAGCCCUAACCCCUAGGCUUCCCGAGGCUACCCCAGCCCUAACCCCUAGGCUUCCCGAGGCUACCCCAGCCCUAACCCCUAGGCUUUCCGAGGCUACCCCAGCCCUAACCCCUAGGCUUCCCGAGGCUACCCCAGCCCUAACCCCUAGGCUUUCCGAGGCUACCCCAGCCCUAACCCCUAGGCUUUCCGAGGCUACCCCAGCCCUAACCCCUAGGCUUCCCGAGGCUACCCCAGCCCUAACCCCUAGGUGCUAG
rnacentral:lncRNA from 1 species